AGGACGAACGCUGGCGGCGUGCUUAACACAUGCAAGUCGAGCGGAAAGGCCCUUCGGGGUACUCGAGCGGCGAACGGGUGAGUAACACGUGAGUAACCUGCCCCAGGCUUUGGGAUAACCCUCGGAAACGGGGGCUAAUACCGGAUAUUCAUUUCUCGUGGCAUCACGGGUUGUGGAAAGUUUUUUCGGCUUGGGAUGGGCUCGCGGCCUAUCAGCUUGUUGGUGGGUGAUGGCCUACCAAGGCGACGACGGGUAG
rnacentral:rRNA from 1 species